AUGUAUGAUUAUGAUUUCACACAUUCAGUGUCUUACUGUCCAUGUAUGAUGCAUUUAUUAGUUCUUUUAUGCAGAAUGGUAAACUACAGAAAGACUUGUCAUUGUAGCCUAUAUACUCUUGGAUCUUUAAGAGAUGAUGCAGAGCGUACACCUAGUUUUCAGUUGCAUUGUUCUGUUAUAACUUAUACGCGAAGAAAACGAGUUUUUUUGUUAAGCUUUCAGGUAUCUCGAGUUGAGUAGAACUCAGAGAACAUGGAAACUUUCUCUCUUAUGGUGCCAUGUUCCAUUGUGGUAUAUUAGAGUUGAACAUUUAUGAACAAGUUCCUGUUUUCCCAGGACUACUUGGCCUGUGAUUUUUGUUUUCACAUCUGCUAUUAAUGUGGAUCUCUUCGAGUUAUGGGUGAUGCAGAGGUAAAAAAAACAGUUGGAUUUCUCCAUGAAAUCUCGUGUGUUUGCAGCAUGACACAUUGGGCUGUCCACUUAUCGAUCCGCUGCCCUCAUAUGAGGCAGGGCGUGAACUGCACAAACCUGGAUCCAAGAAAGUUCUUCCUGGCAGUCAGGAUAGAGUCACUAUGGUUGAGAGCAUCUCUUUUCUGAAGCAAAUGCCACUGAAAUAAUGAAAUUAGUGUCCAGAUUAAUCAUGAGACAAAGAAGGUUGCUGAGUUACUUUGCUUGGACAUCUUCAAAUAUGAUGCAAGGAUGCAUCCACUGAUCCACCCAUCACGUACAAUUUUCAUAUUUUAUUUUGCAUCCCCUGAUGUUCAUUUCUUUGGUGGCCGGACUGCAGCAUGUUCGGUUUACUGUCACUUUGACUGAGCUUAGCUUAGCUGUGAUGGUUGCUGAGUUAUUUUGCUUGGACAUCUUCAUCAAAUAUGAUGCAAGGAUGCAUCCACCCAUCACCCUUUCGGCUUUGCGACGUACAAUUUUCAUAUUUUAUUUUGCAUCCCCUGA